rnacentral:lncRNA from 1 species
UCGUUUGGAGAAGGGGGAGUGGACGGUUGGGAUGAGGUGAGAUGGACGGGUAGGAUGAGAGGCUGGUGGGGUAUAAAUAGGAGAAGGGAAAGAAAAAAAAAGGAAGAGGAAAGAAAAGAAAGAAAACAGAGAAUAGAGAGAUCAGGGGAGAAAAGAGAAGGUUUAAGAGAGAGAGAGAGGAGCCGGAUUGGAGAGAAACGAGAGAGAGAGAGAGAGGAGCCGGAUUGGAGAGAAACGAGAAGAGAGAGAGAAGGAAAUAGAAUUUU